rnacentral:lncRNA from 1 species
GACCAAUUAGCAUUCCCCACUUCCUGAGACUCUACCCACCAAAUUAACCUUAAAAACUCCAGUCCCUGAAUUUCUGUGACCAGUCUCUGCUCUACAUAGUAUUUUCUCACACUUCCACAACACAGUAUUAGUAAUCUUUUUCAUAUUUAAAUUUUUGCCAAUCUGAGAGAUGGAAAAGAACUCAUUUUAGGUUGACUAAUUCAAUUAUGAGUAGGACUAUGCAUUUUUUUCUUUUUCUUUUUUUUCUUUGUUUCUUUUUUUCUGAGGCAGAGUUUCACUUUUGUCCUCCAGGCUGGAGAGCAAUGGCACGAUCUUGGCCCACUGAAACCUCCGCGUCCCGGGUUCAAGUGAUUCCCCUGCCUCAGGCUCUUGAGUAGCUGGGAUUACAUGUGCCCACCACCACGCCCAGCUAAUUUUUUGUAUUUUUAGUAGAGAUGGGGUUUCACCGUGUUGGCCACGCUGGUCUCGAACUCCUGACCUCAGGUGAUCCGCCUGCCGGAGCCUCCCAACGUGCUGGGAUUACAGGCGUGAGCCACUGCGCCCAGCCCGCUGGUCUCAAACUCCUGACCUCAGGUGAUCCG